UACGUAGGGGGCAAGCGUUGUCCGGAAUUACUGGGCGUAAAGGGUGCGUAGGCGGUCAAAUAAGUCAGAUGUGAAAGUCCAGGGCUCAACCGUGGAAUCGCAUUUGAAACUGUUUGACUUGAGUGCAGGAGAGGAGAGUGGAAUUUCUAGUGUAGCGGUGAAAUGCGUAGAUAUUAGGAAGAACACCAGUGGCGAAGGCGGCUCUCUGGACUGUAACUGACGCUGAGGCACGAAAGCGUGGGAAGCGAAC
rnacentral:rRNA from 1 species